AAGACUAUACUUUCAGGGAUCACUUCUCUGGUUUGUUUGUGGAGAAUUUCUCUGAAUGUGUAGCAUGCCAGAAACCAUGAAAAUAAAGAGGCACAGAGUUCUCUCCUGAGUAUGAAGCUGAUGCUUGGUGUUGCUACUGCAACUGCCAUUUUCAUUGGUGAUUCAUCUUGUCUUGCUUUGGGAGAGCAAGAGAGAGAGGAUGCCAUCUGAGU